ensembl:snoRNA T25C12.12 ncRNA
UAGUAUCUCUCAAUUAGGAAACACUUGAAAACCUCUAUUGCUUAGGAUUGAUGAGAGAUAUUGCUUUUUCCUGCACUCACUUUACCUUUGUCUCACCUC